CCUCCCUACUACUUUACACAAACACUGCAUCCUUACAAGCACACACACACUAAAUUCACGAAACACACUCUGCACUACACACACACUACAUUCACUAAAACACACUCUGCACUACACACACACUACAUUCACUAAACAAACACACUACAUUCACUAAACACACUCUGCACUACACACACACUUCAUUUACUAAACACUCUGCACUACACACACACUACGUUCACUAAACACACUCUGCACUACACACACACUUAAUUUAGUAAACACACUCUGCACUACACACACACACACAUACUACAUUCACUAAACACACUCUGCACUACAUACACACUACAUUCACUAAACACACUCUGCACUACACACACACACUACAUUCACUAAACACACUCUGCACUACACACACACACACUACAUUCUCUAAACACACUCUGCAC